rnacentral:rRNA from 1 species
AAUGAACGUUGGCGGCAUGGAUUAGGCAUGCAAGUCGAGCGAGAAGUGUAGCAAUACACGGAAAGCGGCGGAAGGGAGAGUAAUACGUGGGAAUCUGCCCUUAGACCUGGGAUAGCAGCGGGAAACUGCUGGUAAUACCAGAUAAUGUCUAUGGACCAAAGGUGUGAUUCCGUCUAGGGAUGAGCCCACGUCCUAUUAGCUAGUUGGUAGGGUAAUGGCCUACCAAGGCGAUGAUGGGUAGCGAGUGUGAGAGCAUGACCCGCCUCACUGGGACUGAGACACUGCCCAGACACCUACAGGUGGCUGCAGUCGAGAAUCUUCGGCAAUGGGCGCAAGACUGACCGGGCGAUGCCGCGUGCGGGAUGAAGGCCUUCGGGUUGUAAACCGCUGUCGAGUGGGAGCAACUGCCAUAGAGUUAUCUUUAUGGAUUGAGUGAUCCCUGGAGGAAGGACGGGCUAAGUUCGUGCCAGCCGCCGCUGUAAUAC